CAUGUCCUUUUGAAAAAAAUUUAAGGUCUAAUCUGCUCAAUGAUAUUUAAAUAGCCGCAGUAUUUUGACUGUGCAAAGGUAGCAUAAUAAUUAGUUUCUUAAUUAGGAGCUGGAAUGAAUGAUUGGACAAGAAAAUUUCUGUCUCUUUCUUAGUUUUAUUGAAUUUUAUUUUUAAGUGAAAAAGCUUAAAUUUUUAUAAAAGACGAGAAGACCCUAUAGAGUUUAAUAAUUUAAUUUUAAUAAGAAUUUAGGAUAAUUAUUUAAUAUUUAUUAUUUGGUUGGGGUGAUUAAAAGAUUAAUAUAAUUCUUUUAUUAAUUAAAUUGAAUAUUUUCAAUUUUUAAAUCUAUAGUUUAUAAAACUAAAAUAAAUUACCUUAGGGAUAACAGCGUAAUUUUUCUUUAAAGUUCUUAUUGUAGGAAAAGUUUGCGACCUCGAUGUUGGAUUAAAAUUAAUUUUUGGUGCAAUAACUAAAAAAUUAGGUCUGUUCGACCUUUAAAAUU
rnacentral:rRNA from 1 species